UUUCAUCAGAAUCGGUUGAAAGCUGUGGUCAGGGGAGGGUUCAACCUGACAGACACACAGACAGACAAAUUGCCAUUUAUAUAGAGAGAGAUUACAAAUUGUAUAGAAAAAAAUUGUUAAUAUUUUGGACAUUGCAGGAUUAUGACCAAUUUAUUCCACAUAAAUAAUAAAAUCCCAUAUGGACCCAUCCACCCCAGUGUCAUAUUGACCCCAGUUGAGAACCACAGUUCUAGACAAAACAAAGUAACAAAACUGUUGUUUUUUAUUUGUUAGGGUUAAAGGAAGGGGCAGUGCCCACAGUCUUUGUAACCUUUCUGAUAUAGGUGUGACUGAGGCCAUUAACACUCUCCUUGAACAGCAUUGGCAUCUGUGUGAAAGGCAUAAGCUGGGUGAUACUUCCAGAUGGCCACCAACACUCUGGACGGGACUGUUUGUAGUGAUUAGUAUAGGAGGCCUGAGUGAGGGGUUUAGAUAUAUCGAGGGUAAGGAUGAGGGGGGUGAAUAAGGACAACUGGCUUGGAAAUGUCUGAAUGAAAAUUGUACAAGCCUACUUAUUUGUGAGGUGUAGUGCACCUGUGAGCUAAGGAUGGAGUCUUUGAGGGACUUUAUGACAGUCAAACCAUGAAACAUUUUCUAGAUAUCUUUUGUAUGUCAGUGUUGCAGCAGCACUGUCUCAGAUAUGAGAGUAAUACUCUUAAUGGGAAGCUUCUGUAGUUUAAAUAUUUAAAGCUAUAAAAUAAUCGUGUUGGCAAGGAUAUAUCAUAAAAUGAGCAGCAUAUUUGAUAUUUCAAAGAUUUUUUUUUUAUUGUAUAUUCUCUAUUCCUUUAACAUGGAUCAUUAUUAAUAGUCUAUACUUUGCUAUAAUAAGUGCUAUGUAAGUUUAGGCCUAGCUUUUAUAGCUGCUAUGUAAGAGGGUUAGCAUAGCCUUGUACUAUUAUAAAACUUAAAAUUAAUGUAAUAAACAUUUAAUAUAUAAAACACAAUUGUUUAAGCAAACCUGAA